GACGAACGCUGGCGGCAUGCCUAACACAUGCAAGUCUAGGGGUAGCAAUACCACUGGCGCGCGGGUGAGUAACACGUAGGUUAUCUGCCCCCAUCACAGACAUAACCCCGGGAAACCGGGGCUAAUAUCUGAUGAGGUCGCGAGAUCAAAGCUUCGGCGGAUGGGGAUGAGCCUGCGGCUGAUUAGCUAGUUGGUGAGGUAAUGGCUCACCAAGGCGACGAUCAGUAGCUGGUCUGAGAGGACGAACAGCCACACUGGAACUGAGACACGGUCCAGACCCCUACGGGAGGCAGCAGUGAGGAAUAUUGGUCAAUGGGAGCAAUCCUGAACCAGCAAUGCCGCGUGUGGGAUGACAGGGCUUCGCCUUGUAAACCACUGUCGGACGGGACGAAAGGAGGCCUCGGGCCUCUGGGACGGUACCGUCAAAGGAAGGGUCGGCUAACUACGUGCCAGCAGCCGCGGUAAU
rnacentral:rRNA from 1 species